GCCGGGAUGGCGAAAUUGGUAGACGCGCUUGAUUUAGGUUCAAGUGGGGAGACCCGUGCAGGUUCGAGUCCUGUUCUCGGCA
rnacentral:tRNA from 1 species